rnacentral:rRNA from 1 species
UUACGGCCAAAUUACGUUGAAACAUUGGUUCCCGUACGAAAGUUAAGCAACGUCAAGCCUGGUCAGUACCUAGAUGGGUGACUGCUUGGGAAUACCAGGUACUGCAAU